rnacentral:rRNA from 1 species
GGUGAACGCUGGCGGUAGGCCUAACACAUGCAAGUCGAACGGCAGCACAGGAGAGCUUGCUCUCUGGGUGGCGAGUGGCGGACGGGUGAGGAAUACAUCGGAGUCUACUCUGUCGUGGGGGAUAACGUAGGGAAACUUACGCUAAUACCGCAUACGACCUACGGGUGAAAGCAGGGGACCUUCGGGCCUUGCGCGAUUGAAUGAGCCGAUGUCGGAUUAGCUAGUUGGCGGGGUAAAGGCCCACCAAGGCGACGAUCCGUAGCUGGUCUGAGAGGAUGGUCAGCCACACUGGAACUGAGACACGGUCCAGACUCCUACGGGAGGCAGCAGUGGGGAAUAUUGGACAAUGGGCGCAAGCCUGAUCCAGCCAUACCGCGUGGGUGAAGAGGGCCUUCGGGUUGUAAAGCCCUUUUGUUGGGAAAGAAAUCCAGCUGGCUAAUACCCGGUUGGGAUGACGGUACCCAAAGAAUAAGCACCGGCUAACUUCGUGCCAGCCGCCGCAGUAA